UUUUUCCUACGGGACGCAGCAGUGGGGAAUAUUGCACAAUGGGGGAAACCCUGAUGCAGCGACGCCGCGUGAGCGAAGAAGUAUUUCGGUAUGUAAAGCUCUAUCAGCAGGGAAGAAAAUGACGGUACCUGACUAAGAAGCUCCGGCUAAAUACGUGCCAGCAGCCGCGGUAAUACGUAUGGAGAAAGCGUUAUCCGGAUUUACUGGGUGUAAAGGGAGCGCAGGCGGUCCGGCAAGUCUGAUGUGAAAGGCGGGGGCUCAAC
rnacentral:rRNA from 1 species